rnacentral:rRNA from 1 species
AGUAACACGUGGGUAACCUGCCCUGAUGAUCGGGACAACCCGAGGAAACUCGGGCUAAUACCGAAUGUGCCCUCCGGCCAUAAGGCCACUGGGGAAAGGAAGCUUCGGCCCCCGCAUCGGGAUGGGCCCGCGGCCCAUUAGCUUGUUGGUGAGGUAACGGCUCACCAAGGCAAUGAUGGGUAGCUGGUCUGAGAGGACGAUCAGCCACACUGGGACUGAGACACGGCCCAG